rnacentral:rRNA from 1 species
CAUAGGUUAAUGAGGCGAACCGGGGGAACUGAAACAUCUAAGUACCCCGAGGAAAAGAAAUCAACCGAGAUUCCCCCAGUAGCGGCGAGCGAACGGGGAGGAGCCCAGAGCCUGAAUCAGUGUGUGUGUUAGUGGAAGCGUCUGGAAAGGCGCGCGAUACAGGGUGACAGCCCCGUACACAAAAAUGCACAUACUGUGAGCUCGAUGAGUAGGGCGGGACACGUGGUAUCCUGUCUGAAUAUGGGGGGACCAUCCUCCAAGGCUAAAUACUCCUGACUGACCGAUAGUGAACCAGUACCGUGAGGGAAAGGCGAAAAGAACCCCGGCGAGGGGAGUGAAAAAGAACCUGAAACCGUGUACGUACAAGCAGUGGGAGCCUCUUAAUGGGGUGACUGCGUACCUUUUGUAUAAUGGGUCAGCGACUUAUAUUCUGUAGCAAGGUUAACCGAAUAGGGGAGCCGAAGGGAAACCGAGUCUUAACUGGGCGUUAAGUUGCAGGGUAUAGACCCGAAACCCGGUGAUCUAGCCAUGGGCAGGUUGAAGGUUGGGUAACACUAACUGGAGGACCGAACCGACUAAUGUUGAAAAAUUAGCGGAUGACUUGUGGCUGGGGGUGAAAGGCCAAUCAAACCGGGAGAUAGCUGGUUCUCCCCGAAAGCUAUUUAGGUAGCGCCUCGUGAAUUCAUCUCCGGGGGUAGAGCACUGUUUCGGCAAGGGGGUCAUCCCGACUUACCAACCCGAUGCAAACUGCGAAUACCGGAGAAUGUUAUCACGGGAGACACACGGCGGGUGCUAACGUCCGUCGUGAAGAGGGAAACAACCCAGACCGCCAGCUAAGGUCCCAAAGUCAUGGUUAAGUGGGAAACGAUGUGGGAAGGCCCAGACAGCCAGGAUGUUGGCUUAGAAGCAGCCAUCAUUUAAAGAAAGCGUAAUAGCUCACUGGUCGAGUCGGCCUGCGCGGAAGAUGUAACGGGGCUAAACCAUGCACCGAAGCUGCGGCAGCGACGCUUAUGCGUUGUUGGGUAGGGGAGCGUUCUGUAAGCCUGUGAAGGUGGCCUGUGAGGGUUGCUGGAGGUAUCAGAAGUGCGAAUGCUGACAUAAGUAACGAUAAAGCGGGUGAAAAGCCCGCUCGCCGGAAGACCAAGGGUUCCUGUCCAACGUUAAUCGGGGCAGGGUGAGUCGACCCCUAAGGCGAGGCCGAAAGGCGUAGUCGAUGGGAAACAGGUUAAUAUUCCUGUACUUGGUGUUACUGCGAAGGGGGGACGGAGAAGGCUAUGUUGGCCGGGCGACGGUUGUCCCGGUUUAAGCGUGUAGGCUGGUUUUCCAGGCAAAUCCGGAAAAUCAAGGCUGAGGCGUGAUGACGAGGCACUACGGUGCUGAAGCGACAAAUGCCCUGCUUCCAGGAAAAGCCUCUAAGCAUCAGGUAACAUUAAAUCGUACCCCAAACCGACACAGGUGGUCAGGUAGAGAAUACCAAGGCGCUUGAGAGAACUCGGGUGAAGGAACUAGGCAAAAUGGUGCCGUAACUUCGGGAGAAGGCACGCUGAUAUGUAGGUGAAGCGACUUGCUCGUGGAGCUGAAAUCAGUCGAAGAUACCAGCUGGCUGCAACUGUUUAUUAAAAACACAGCACUGUGCAAACACGAAAGUGGACGUAUACGGUGUGACGCCUGCCCGGUGCCGGAAGGUUAAUUGAUGGGGUUAGCGGUAACGCGAAGCUCUUGAUCGAAGCCCCGGUAAACGGCGGCCGUAACUAUAACGGUCCUAAGGUAGCGAAAUUCCUUGUCGGGUAAGUUCCGACCUGCACGAAUGGCGUAAUGAUGGCCAGGCUGUCUCCACCCGAGACUCAGUGAAAUUGAACUCGCUGUGAAGAUGCAGUGUACCCGCGGCAAGACGGAAAGACCCCGUGAACCUUUACUAUAGCUUGACACUGAACAUUGAGCCUUGAUGUGUAGGAUAGGUGGGAGGCUUUGAAGUGUGGACGCCAGUCUGCAUGGAGCCGACCUUGAAAUACCACCCUUUAAUGUUUGAUGUUCUAACGUGGGCCCCUUACCGGGGUUGCGGACAGUGUCUGGUGGGUAGUUUGACUGGGGCGGUCUCCUCCUAAAGAGUAACGGAGGAGCACGAAGGUUGGCUAAUCCUGGUCGGACAUCAGGAGGUUAGUGCAAUGGCAUAAGCCAGCUUGACUGCGAGCGUGACGGCGCGAGCAGGUGCGAAAGCAGGUCAUAGUGAUCCGGUGGUUCUGAAUGGAAGGGCCAUCGCUCAACGGAUAAAAGGUACUCCGGGGAUAACAGGCUGAUACCGCCCAAGAGUUCAUAUCGACGGCGGUGUUUGGCACCUCGAUGUCGGCUCAUCACAUCCUGGGGCUGAAGUAGGUCCCAAGGGUAUGGCUGUUCGCCAUUUAAAGUGGUACGCGAGCUGGGUUUAGAACGUCGUGAGACAGUUCGGUCCCUAUCUGCCGUGGGCGCUGGAGAACUGAGGGGGGCUGCUCCUAGUACGAGAGGACCGGAGUGGACGCAUCACUGGUGUUCGGGUUGUCAUGCCAAUGGCACUGCCCGGUAGCUAAAUGCGGAAGAGAUAAGUGCUGAAAGCAUCUAAGCACGAAACUUGCCCCGAGAUGAGUUCUCCCUGACUCCUUGAGAGUCCUGAAGGAACGUUGAAGACGACGACGUUGAUAGGCCGGGUGUGUAAGCGCAGCGAUGCGUUGAGCUAACCGGUACUAAUGAACCGUGAG